UACGAGGGGGGCAAAUGUUGUUCGGAAUCACUGGGCGUAAAGGGAGCGUAGGCGGGUGUUUAAGUUAGGUGUUUAAUCCUGGGGCCCAACCCCAGUCGUGCACCUAAAACUGGACAUCUUGAAUAGUGGAGAGGUCAGUGGAAUUGGGGGUGUAGCGGUGGAAUGCGUAGAGAUCCCCAAGAACACCAGUUGCGAAGGCGGCUGACUGGACACAUAUUGACGCUGAGGCUCGAAAGCGUGGGGAGCGAACAGG
rnacentral:rRNA from 1 species